AUUGAACGCUAGCGGGAUGCCUUACACAUGCAAGUCGAACGAGUGGCGGACGGGUGAGUAAUGUCUAGGAACGUGCCCAGUAGCGGGAGAUAACUACUCGAAACAGUGUCUAAUACCGCAUACUCUUGGAUCCGCCCAUAUCGGAUUAGCUAGUAGGUGGGGUAAAGGCUCACCAAGGCAACGAUCCGUAGCUGGUUUGAGAGGACGACCAGCCACACUGGGACUGAGACACGGCCCAGACGCCUACGGGAGGCAGCAGUGGGGAAUAUUGGACAAUGGGGGAAACCCUGAUCCAGCCAUCCCGCGUGUAUGAGAAGGCCUUCGGGUUGUAAAGUACUUUUGGCGGAGAAGCGGUAUCUGCAGAAUAAGCACCGGCUAACUACGUGCCAGCAGCCGCGGUAAUAC
rnacentral:rRNA from 1 species